rnacentral:lncRNA from 10 species
CAGGUACAACUGACAGUGGGGAACAAGCUAAUCAAUUUCCUGGUCAAUACAGAUGCCACUUACUCAGUUCUUAACACAACAGAAGCACAAAGCACCAAAUGGCAGUACCUAUAACAGGAGUUGUAAGAACAAUAAAACUUUCUCACAACCUCUAGAGUGAAAACUGGGAGGCCUGGAACUAAAGAAACAGCUUUCUCUAUAUGUCAGAAUGCCCAAUCCCUCCACUGGGAUAUGACCUGCUAUAAAUUAAAUGCUCAAGUAACUUUCUGCCUGAGAAGCAGCAAUUACACUUACAGGUCCUGCUGGAACAAGCACUACAGCUACAAAUACUACUCACUCACCCUGAGAAGAAGGAAGAUAAAGCCUUUCCUUUGGAAAUCUACAAAAGGGUCUGCCUACUCCACAGAUGAGCUUCUUUACCUGUUCCAUCCAGGGGACAAGGUGCCAUUAAAGUCCUGGAAAAAUCAAGGACCAAAUCAACAACUGGCUGAAAAAUGGACUGGAUCCCAUGAUGAGAUGCUGACCUCUCAUUCAUCAGUCAACCUGUCCAGAACGAAACCAUGGGUCCACCACUCUGAAAUAAAGGUGGCUUCACCCUAGCUUGACCCCACAGAGGAGGCUGCUUGGACAUGUGAGCCAAAAGAAGAGAUUAAAAUACUACUUAAGAAAAACCACAAAUAAGUAAAGCCCUAUUUUUAAUUUCCUGUAGAAUGAAUAGAAUGAAACACUUGCAG